UCCGUAGGUGAACCUGCGGAAGGAUCAUUACCGAGUGAGGGCCCUCUGGGUCCAACCUCCCACCCGUGUUUAUUUUACCUUGUUGCUUCGGCGGGCCCGCCUUAACUGGCCGCCGGGGGGCUUACGCCCCCGGGCCCGCGCCCGCCGAAGACACCCUCGAACUCUGUCUGAAGAUUGUAGUCUGAGUGAAAAUAUAAAUUAUUUAAAACUUUCAACAACGGAUCUCUUGGUUCCGGCAUCGAUGAAGAACGCAGCGAAAUGCGAUACGUAAUGUGAAUUGCAAAUUCAGUGAAUCAUCGAGUCUUUGAACGCACAUUGCGCCCCCUGGUAUUCCGGGGGGCAUGCCUGUCCGAGCGUCAUUUCUGCCCUCAAGCACGGCUUGUGUGUUGGGCCCCGUCCUCCGAUCCCGGGGGACGGGCCCGAAAGGCAGCGGCGGCACCGCGUCCGGUCCUCGAGCGUAUGGGGCUUUGUCACCCGCUCUGUAGGCCCGGCCGGCGCUUGCCGAUCAACCCAAAUUUUUAUCCAGGUUGACCUCGGAUCAGGUAG
rnacentral:rRNA from 13 species